rnacentral:rRNA from 1 species
UACGUAGGGUGCGAGCGUUAAUCGGAAUACUGGGCGUAAAGCGUGCGCAGGCGGUGAUGUAAGACAGAUGUGAAAUCCCCGGGCUCAACCUGGGACCUGCAUUUGUGACUGCAUCGCUGGAGUGCGGCAGAGGGGGAUGGAAUUCCGCGUGUAGCAGUGAAAUGCGUAGAUAUGCGGAGGAACACCGAUGGCGAAGGCAAUCCCCUGGGCCUGCACUGACGCUCAUGCACGAAAGCGUGGGGAG